AAAGGUUAAGAACCACUGGCCUAAAGCCUGAUAAAUUUGGUAGUUCCUCGUCAUAGCACGUUGGUAGCCUGCAUGCUUUGAGCAGACUUAGUCCGUGUUGUUUUAAAUAUUACACACGUGGCGCCUUUGUGCUCUUAAACCGCAGUAUUGAAGUGUUGUUUUUUUUUUGUAGCUCGUGGGGAAAGUCGUCUAACGUGAAUAACUGUUUCGCUGAUAUUGGUGGCGCGUUUAUCGCCAUUUUGAGCGACUCAAAACCAGCAAAAAGAAUGGCCGAAGCAGACCGACCGGGGAAGCUCUUCAUCGGUGGACUCAACACGGAGACCACCGACAAGGCCUUGGAGCAGUACUUCAGCAAAUAUGGCAGGAUCGUC